UACGAAGGGGGCUAGCGUUGCUCGGAAUCACUGGGCGUAAAGCGCACGUAGGCGGCUUUCUAAGUCAGGGGUGAAAUCCUGGAGCUCAACUCCAGAACUGCCUUUGAUACUGGGAAGCUCGAGUUCGGGAGAGGUGAGUGGAAUUGCGAGUGUAGAGGUGAAAUUCGUAGAUAUUCGCAAGAACACCAGUGGCGAAGGCGGCUCACUGGCCCGAUACUGACGCUGAGGUGCGAAAGCGUGGGGAGCAAACAGG
rnacentral:rRNA from 1 species